rnacentral:rRNA from 1 species
UACGUAGGGUGCGAGCGUUGUCCGGAAUUAUUGGGCGUAAAGGGCUCGUAGGCGGUUUGUCACGUCAGGAGUGAAAACUCGGGGCUCAACCCCGAGCCUGCUUCUGAUACGGGCAGACUGGAGGUAUGCAGGGGGGAACGGAAUUCCUGGUGUAGCGGUGAAAUGCGCAGAUAUCAGGAGGAACACCGGUGGCGAAGGCGGUUCUCUGGGCAUGUCCUGACGCUGAGGAGCGAAAGUGUGGGGAGCGAACAGG